UCUUUAUUUAUCACUAAUAAUCGUCGAUUUGGUUCAUUCUUUAAACCCAAUUCAAUUCUAUUAACAAACCAUUUAUCAUCUACAGAUUUUCUUUUAGCCCAGAAAUGCAUAGUUCCUCUCUCUUUGCUGCCAAUUACAGGUACUUCAUAUUUGGCUGAUAAAUCAUUGGUAUAAUUCUUCUCCACAUUGCCUACAUCUAUUGUACCAGUUUUGAUGGGUUCACCUAGUAUAUGAACAGCUCCCUUGUGUGUUCGUAUUGUUGUCAAAGCCUCUUUGUAAUACUCUGUCUCAGAUAUUCUGUCAUUAAAUUUUGAUCUUGUUAAAAGUCCCAUUGUUACAGUGGCCAUUCCUCCCAAAGCUGCUAUUUUCACUAAUGUGUGAUUGGUUACACCCAUUCUGUUUAAUUAUUUUCUCAAACUUUAUGGGAAAACUUUGAAAUGGGCAAGGCUGUCAAGUGAAGAUAAUUUGUGGUUAAGUUUGCGUCGUCCUGGAUGCAAGAUCCGUGCAUCAUACUAAAACGUGAACUCGUGAACACUAUGUGUAGUAUGCAAAUGAAAAUAUUCAAUCCAAAGGUUGCAUUAUUCUGUACUAAAACAUGAUCUCAAAGAACAGCACCUUUUAUAAUAAUGA